rnacentral:rRNA from 1 species
AACGAACGCUGGCGGCAGGCUUAACACAUGCAAGUCGAACGCCCCGCAAGGGGAGUGGCAGACGGGUGAGUAACGCGUGGGAACGUGCCCUAAGGUACGGAACAACUCCGGGAAACUGGAGCUAAUACCGUAUGUGACCGAGAGGUGAAAGAUUUAUCGCCUUGGGAUCGGCCCGCGUUAGAUUAGCUAGUUGGUGGGGUAAAAGCCUACCAAGGCGACGAUCUAUAGCUGUUCUGAGAGGAAGAUCAGCCACACUGGGACUGAGACACGGCCCAGACUCCUACGGGAGGCAGCAGUGGUGAAUCUUGGACAAUGGGCGCAAGCCUGAUCCAGCCAUGCCGCGUGAGUGACGAAGGCCUUAGGGUUGUAAAACUCUUUCGCCGGGGACGAUAAUGACGGUACCCGGAGAAGAAGCUCCGGCUAACUUCGUGCCAGCCGCCGCGGUAAUAC